rnacentral:rRNA from 1 species
ACCGUAAGGCCUCGCGCGAUUAGAGCGGCCGAUAUCUGAUUAGGCUUGUUGGUGGGGUAAAAGCCCACCAAGGCGACGAUCAGUAGCUGGUCUGAGAGGACGAUCAGCCACACUGGGACUGAGACACGGCCCAGACUCCUACGGGAGGCAGCAGUGGGGAAUUUUGGACAAUGGGGGCAACCCUGAUCCAGCAAUGCCGCGUGAGUGAAGAAGGCCUUCGGGUUGUAAAGCUCUUUUGUCAGGGAAGAAACAGCAGCUCUAACACAGUCUGCGAAUGACGGUACCUGAAGAAUAAGCACCGGCUAACUACGUG